UACGUAGGGGGCAAGCGUUAUCCGGAUUUACUGGGUGUAAAGGGAGCGUAGACGGGACAGCAAGUCUGAUGUGAAAGGCGGGGGCUCAACCCCCGGACUGCAUUGGAAACUGCUGGCCUGGAGUACCGGAGGGGUAAGCGGAAUUCCUAGUGUAGCGGUGAAAUGCGUAGAUAUUAGGAGGAACACCGGUGGCGAAGGCGGCUUACUGGACGGUAACUGACGUUGAGGCUCGAAAGCGUGGGGAGCAAACAGG
rnacentral:rRNA from 1 species